GACGAACGCUGGCGGCGUGCUUAACACAUGCAAGUCGAACGUAAAGGCCCCUUUGGGGGUACUCGAGUGGCGAACGGGUGAGUAACACGUGAGUAACCUGCCCUUGACUUCGGGAUAACUUCAGGAAACUGGGGCUAAUACCGGAUAGGAAUCCUUGCUGCAUGGUGGGGGUUGGAAAGCUUCGGCGGUUUUGGAUGGACUCGCGGCUUAUCAGCUUGUUGGUGGGGUAGUGGCUUACCAAGGCUUUGACGGGUAGCCGGCCUGAGAGGGCGACCGGCCACAUUGGGACUGAGAUACGGCCCAGACUCCUACGGGAGGCAGCAGUGGGGAAUAUUGCACAAUGGGCGGAAGCCUGAUGCAGCAACGCCGCGUGCGGGAUGACGGCCUUCGGGUUGUAAACCGCUUUCAGCAGGGGCGAAGCUUGUGGUGACGGUACCUGCAGAAGAAGCACCGGCUAACUACGUG
rnacentral:rRNA from 1 species